CACUUGACCGAAAGCUAGCCCAACUAACUAUAGAUCAUAAGCUUCGGUGGCGUUGCCCCCGAACCCCCACCGGGGGCUUCGCUGCGCCCCCGGGCCCCCAAGCCAGGGGCGCGUCGCCCCCUUGGACCCCCGACUCGCUGAUCGGACAGCGAGACCCCCGUACGGCUCAGCGAGGGUACUUAACUGCGGCUAAGCCCGCCGUUUGGAGCUUGAACAUUUGCAUCUUCAAUUGUAAGCAGCAUUUUAGUAGUCGUGCAAGGAUAUUCCAACUCAAUUCCUUCAAUGACCGGUU
rnacentral:lncRNA from 1 species